CACUGAAAUCAUGAAUGGCCAACUUCACCCACAAAGCAACGGACUAGAUGAUGCUUUGCUCAUCUGAAAAGAGACGAAUUUGAACACAACCCAUCACCGCAAAAUCUGAAACCAUUCGACUAAACACAAUAGCCACCAGCCUAACAAAGUUCAUGAGCUUUAAAGCAAGGUUUACCAGAUAAUCUAUUGCAUUUAAUUCAACUCCUUAAAAGUGCCUAAAACUAGCUGUUUCGCCAAUUUUUGGCUAUGAGCUAAACAACAAAGAAGUGGAAAAAUAGGAACAAAAGGAAAUGGAGAGUUCUCACACAGAAGCCGGUCUUGAUCAUGAACAACUCCAUGGAGCCUCCGAUGAGAGCUGAAAAGACCGCGAUCUUCACAUACCAAUCCAGAAACUUCACCGCCAUAUCGAAGCUGCUCAGCGUUAACGCAGCGGCUGAAAGAUG